rnacentral:rRNA from 1 species
GACGAACGCUGGCGGCGUGCUUAACACAUGCGAGUCGAACGGAAAGGCCCUGCUUUUGUGGGGUGCUCGAGUGGCGAACGGGUGAGUAACACGUGAGUAACCUGCCCUUGACUUUGGGAUAACUUCAGGAAACUGGGGCUAAUACCGGAUAGGAGCUCCUGCUGCAUGGUGGGGUUGGAAAGUUUCGGCGGUUGGGGAUGGACUCGCGGCUUAUCAGCUUGUUGGUGGGGUAGUGGCUUACCAAGGCUUUGACGGGUAGCCGGCCUGAGAGGGUGACCGGCCACAUUGGGACUGAGAUACGGCCCAGACUCCUACGGGAGGCAGCAGUGGGGAAUAUUGCACAAUGGGCGGAAGCCUGAUGCAGCAACGCCGCGUGCGGGAUGACGGCCUUCGGGUUGUAAACCGCUUUCGCCUGUGACGAAGCGUGAGUGACGGUAAUGGGUAAAGAAGCACCGGCUAACUACGUG